UGUGGCUGCAGUGUGAUCAGCCAACCUCUUGCUCCUACCACCAGACUUUCCUUGCCUGCUGCCAUGAUGGACUGCACUCUUCUUGAACUGCUACAGUCCAUGACCGAAGAAAGUAAAGGCAGAAACUCCAAGGCAGGCCUGCUUGCUACUCCAUGCCGCAUUACCUCUGACCAGGGAAUUUGCAUAGCCAAAAGGACCACCUGGCCAAAGAAUGGUUCCACCCACAGUGGGCUAGAUCCUUCUACAUCAAUGAAAGCAAUUGUGACGAUUCCCCACAGACAUGCCCACAGGUCUGUCUGAGCUGAGCAGUUCCUCAAUUGAGACUCCCUUCUCAGGUACCUUAGGAGGAAAGGAUGCUAAACUUGGUAAGAAUGGAAACCUGUGUGUUUCCAUUCAACCUGAGCCUGAGGAAGUGUGUUCCAGCCAUUAAGACACAGCUGCCUG
rnacentral:lncRNA from 1 species